CACGUAGUUAGCCGGCGCUUCUUCUGCAGGUACACGUCAACUUCGUCCCUGCUGAAAGAGGUUUACAACCCGAAGGCCGUCAUCCCCCACGCGGCGUCGCUGCGUCAGGCUUUCGCCCAUUGCGCAAUAUUCCCCACUGCUGCCUCCCGUAGGAGUCUGGGCCGUGUCUCAGUCCCAGUGUGGCCGGUCGCCCUCUCAGGCCGGCUACCCGUCGUCGCCUUGGUAGGCCAUUACCCCACAACAAGCUGAUAGGCCGCGAGUCCAUCCCCAACCGAAAACUUUCCACACCCACCCCAUGCGAGGAGGUGUCAUAUCCGGUAUUAGACCCAGUUUCCCGGCUUACUCCAGAGUCAGGGGCAGGUUACUCACGUGUUACUCACCCGUUCGCCGCUCGACGUACCCGAAGGGCCCUUUCCGCUCGACUUGCAUGUGUUAAGCACGCCGCCAGCGUUCGUCCUGACGCCAGGAUCCGAAACUCUA
rnacentral:rRNA from 1 species